UGAUCAUGGCUCAGAUUGAACGCUGGCGGCAGGCCUAACACAUGCAAGUCGAGCGGUAACAGAAAGUAGCUUGCUACUUUGCUGACGAGCGGCGGACGGGUGAGUAAUGCUUGGGAACAUGCCUUGAGGUGGGGGACAACAGUUGGAAACGACUGCUAAUACCGCAUAAUGUCUACGGACCAAAGGGGGCUUCGGCUCUCGCCUUUAGAUUGGCCCAAGUGGGAUUAGCUAGUUGGUGAGGUAAUGGCUCACCAAGGCGACGAUCCCUAGCUGGUUUGAGAGGAUGAUCAGCCACACUGGGACUGAGACACGGCCCAGACUCCUACGGGAGGCAGCAGUGGGGAAUAUUGCACAAUGGGCGCAAGCCUGAUGCAGCCAUGCCGCGUGUGUGAAGAAGGCCUUCGGGUUGUAAAGCACUUUCAGUCAGGAGGAAAGGNUNGUAGUUAAUACCNNUUANNUGUGACGUUACUGACAGAAGAAGCACCGGCUAACUCCGUGC
rnacentral:rRNA from 1 species